rfam:Bombyx mori DNA, contig: Bm_scaf94_contig35068, strain: p50T/Dazao, build 2, whole genome shotgun sequence.
UUAACUCAUAUUUGUAUGGAAUGAGAUUGUUUGCCUACGUUUGCCAUUAGGGGCGCUGUUCCAACUGCAUACAAAAUUGGGUUA